UUCACAUGGAAAAAGUAAACUAUUUCUUACUUUUGAACUUGGGAGUGGUACAAAAAUACACACAUAUGUUUAGACAGUUCAGAACAUAUAUAUUUCACACAAAAAUAGAUAAUAUGAUUUUGUGAUUUCUUAUAUUCAUGAUUUUAGAUUACUACUCCAGACCUCUUUGAUUUGAUUAAGUCUUUCUCAUUAAUAUUGCAUUCCAAAUCCUUAAACUUGUUCUUGGAUAGUGAAUUACAAGAGGUAUAUAUACACAUAAAGAGGCUGAUAAUAGUGAAUCAUUCUCUUCUGCUGUUGCUGCUUCUUAUGUACUGCUUUUUAUGCUACUUUUUUUUUCUUUUUUUUUUACAAGUAUAUUGGUAGCUACUUAUUAUUAGAAGCAAAAUUUGUCUUUGUAUCCAUUAAUAUGUAAAACAAAAGGGUAUUUCUCUUUUCUCCAGCACUUAGUGUAAGUACAAGUAUUUUUAGUCAUGAUAUAUUCUUUCUUCACUUUAAUACAGUGCAUUUGUCACAAAUUGAAGCAGGGCAGGUGCAAAAACAGUACAUUGCAAGAGUUAUUGGGGCAUUUCCCGAGCAUGAGAAAGUUGUAGAUGAAAAUAUAAAUUAUAAUGCCCGGGAAGGAAAGAGCACAGCAGAGGUGCUCAACUCCUCUGGUGGCACUUCAGUAAAAGGGAAGGUUGCUUGUACCAAGUUCACUAGAAUUAGUACCAUAAUGUGUUCCUCUAUAUAUGCAGAUUUAUAUAAUUAAAGUCGUGUGUAUUGAAGUUGUUAACAUUAUAUAUAUACAUUUUUUGGAGUAAA